rnacentral:lncRNA from 1 species
GAGUAUUUCUUCUUUGUAAUAUUUGGAAAAAUAUUUUUGGCGAUUCGAGUUUUUUAAUAUUAUUUGUUUUAUUAGGAUUAAUGUCUAUUUCUGGAGUUACUUUCUUUUUAUCUUUUGUAAUUCUUUCUAUUUGAUUUUUGAUUGUACUUGUUCUAUCAGUCAAAUCCUUCAUUUUUGUUUCUAUCAGUGAAGAAUUUGGCCAAUUUCCAGAUUCAAUUUGACUAAAUGAUUCGUUAAUUAUUUGAUUACUAAUUAGAUAAUCUUUUUCUUUUUUUGUUUCAUUGGAUUCAGAUAUUUCUUUGAAUCUAAAUAAUACAAUUGGAUUUACUUUUGAAAGUUCUUUUUUUAUUUUUUUUAUAAAUCCAAUACUUUUGAUAAACCAUUUUUUGGUUUCUUUUGAAACUCUUCUAAAUAAUUUUGUUUUUCCUUUGAAAAUUUUUAGAGUUAGAAAAUAUUUCUUUUUGAAUUUUCCAAUUUUUUUUUCGAGUUCCUUAAAAAUGGGCUCAAAAAAGGAAGGGCGCUUUCGGGGAGAACCAAAGGGAAGUUCAGCUUCCAUUCCCCAAACUGUUAAAAAACAAAAAUCAUCUUUUUGUUUUUGCUUUUUCAUUAGCUCUCCGCGGGAGGGGUACAGUUUAGAUAUAUGCCAAGGUUUCAAACAAAAAGGAAAUAAAACUUUGAUCUGAAUCCGUUUCUAUCAGUGAAGAAUUUGGCCAAUUUCCAGAUUCAAUUUGACUAAAUGAUUCGUUAAUUAUUUGAUUACUAAUUAGAUAAUCUUUUUCUUUUUUUGUUUCAUUGGAUUCAGAUAUUUCUUUGAAUCUAAAUAAUACAAUUGGAUUUACUUUUGAAAGUUCUUUUUUUAUUUUUUUUAUAAAUCCAAUACUUUUGAUAAACCAUUUUUUGGUUUCUUUUGAAACUCUUCUAAAUAAUUUUGUUUUUCCUUUGAAAAUUUUUAGAGUUAGAAAAUAUUUCUUUUUGAAUUUUCCAAUUUUUUUUUCGAGUUCCUUAAAAAUGGGCUCAAAAAAGGAAGGGCGCUUUCGGGGAGAACCAAAGGGAAGUUCAGCUUCCAUUCCCCAAACUGUUAAAAAACAAAAAUCAUCUUUUUGUUUUUGCUUUUUCAUUAGCUCUCCGCGGGAGGGGUACAGUUUAGAUAUAUGCCAAGGUUUCAGACAAAAAGGAAAUAAAAUUUUUAUCUGAAUCCCGUCUCUCAACCAAUCUUUGGGAAAUUCUGUUUCUGAUAAUUGAACACCAUUAUAAGUACAUUUAAUCUGCAUUUCUCUAUUCCAUUCCUGCAAAUCUUCAGACCAUUCAGGAAGUUGCAAGAAUAACAUACGCCCGAGAUUUUUGGCUAUUAUCAAUGAAGGUAAUAGAAUAUAUUUUCGAAGAAUUGAUUGAGUUAUUAACAUGUAACCUCUUAUUAUUUGUGCAAAAGGAAUGUUAUCCCAGGCUUCUUCGAUCGCUAUCCGUGCUUGUUCCUUUCUUUUGUUAUCCUCUUUUUUGUCCUUUUCUUUUUUCUCUUCUCUUUUUGUUUGUUCUUCUCUAGACUCUAGAAUCUUGAAUUCUCCCUCUUUACCUGUCCAAUUUCGAAAAAUUGGUUUAAUUAGUUCAGAGAUAUCAAAAGAAAAAAGACGUAGGGGGGUUAUUCUGUCGACAAAAAGGGGGGAAUGUACAUUUGCUUGAAAUAGUUUCGAAAUAAAUGUUUUGCGCCUUUGAGCCCGCAUAGAGCCUUUAAUUAUACCUCGCCGAAAAUCUGAUUGUUGCGAAUAGCUUAUUAAAGCCACUUCCUCCUCAGGAUCGUUAGUCGCGUUGUUGUCAGUAAAAAUAACUACACGUUUGGCUUUUCUUGAACGAAGUUGAUGAUCAAUUGAUGCGCGAUCUUGAAAUUCACCCAUUUGUUGGUCCAAUUCGGUGAUUAAUUUAUGGGACCAGCGAGGUACUUUUUUACUGAUUUCUUUUAUUCCAAUCGAUUUUUUUCCCGAUUUUGUCUCAUUAGGAUCAAUUGCAUUAAAUACAAAUUUUACAAAUUUCGCUGAUGAUCAAUUGAUGCGCGAUCUUGAAAUUCACCCAUUUGUUGGUCCAAUUCGGUGAUUAAUUUAUGGGACCAGCGAGGUACUUUUUUACUGAUUUCUUUUAUUCCAAUCGAUUUUUUUCCCGAUUUUGUCUCAUUAGGAUCAAUUGCAUUGAAUACAAAUUUUACAAAUUUCGUUCUUUUUUCUGAAUUCACUCUUCUCUGUUCUUGGUCUGAAAAUAAAGAAAGACCCUUCAAAUUUAAACUCGAUUUUGGUUCGUUACCUAAUUCAUUGAUUAAAGUUAAGAACUCGUCAAUUUUUGUUGAUAAUGGUUUUUUAUCAAUCGUAUACGCUUUUUGUUCAAAUUCUUGGUAAUCCAUAUUCGGAAGAAAGAUAGUAUGAAUCCUAUUUAGUCUAACUCUCUUUUCCCAAUUUUCUAGCAAAGUAUUGUUUAUGAUUGAAGAUGAAACCCCCUUUUUUAUUGUUCCUCGAUAUGGUCCAUUUAACAAAGGAUCAUACAUUUUAGGCACGUAUUCUUUUUUAGUAUCAUCAUUACACAAUCUAGUCCUUGUUUCGAGUAUAUCCAUAGAAAGAGAUUCCGUGGCUAGAAUUUCAAGUCGAUUUAAAAAUUCCUUAUUCAGAUUAUUACUUUUUUCUUUGUUGGUAGAAACCCACUGAGUGUCCAGUUCAUUAGGGAGCGUUUUUUGGAGUGACAAUAGGGGUAUCUUUCUUUUUAUCAUUUUCCAAAAAGUUGAUAAACUUGGCGGGUAUGUAAAAGAUAUUCUUUGUUUUCCAUCACUUUUACAUGUGUCAAAAAAAUAUUGUGACAUCUCUGUUCUUACGGCCUGCUCAAAUCGAUUAUUCUUUAUGUAACGAAAUGGUCGAUUCCAUCGAUUAUAAUCGAAAAGAAGACUCACAAGAGGUUUUUGAAACCAGAAGAGGUCUUGAUUUUCAUUUUUUUUAUCAAGUAGUUGCAAUUUAAAAUUUUCUAGAUUCCCCGUGUUAUUAUUAUUCAGAUAAGAAUCCUGAUAAUCAUAAAUUGGACUAUUACUAGUAUUAAUAUUGUUAUAGCCUGUCUCUGUAAGGUGAGAGUGGAAUUUAUCCUUUAUUUUGUCCUUUCCAUUCACUCAGAUUUCUUCUGUUUCAUCGAUUUUGUCCGAACCCACCUUUCUUCCGAAAAAAGGGAAGGAGAAGGAUAAGGAUCUUCUUCAGUGGAUCCCUCUUGUUCCUGUUUAGUCCCC